AUCCUCCUAUAUACCUAUCGCUAUGAAGGUAUAAAAAAGAUAGGUUAAGAGUUCAUAUAGGUAAUAUAAACAAAUAAGUAAAUAUGUUCAUUAUUUAUCUUUCAAGAGAUAAUGUAGGUAUACAUUAUAAUAACAUUUUGACACAGUCGAAAUUAUAUUCCUAACAUUAGUAAUAUAACAUUUUAAUAUUUUUUUUAUAGGUUAUGUAUUGAAAUUGUUGGAAAAUUAUUUCAUGUUUUAGCUGGAAAACUACAUGGAGAAUUAUAUGCAAUACAAGAUAAUGAGCUCCAUUAAAUGAAUUCGAAUGAAACCAAACUGUUUACCAUCCAAAUUCGAUUGUCGGGCAGAUAGAAAACGAAAAUUCACUCAUAGUGAACCUCGGCCUGCAUUUGUGAAACGGCAAAGACUCACUAUUAUCAAGGAAAUUGAAGAGACGACUAAAAAUGAGAUGUGUCGUAUUAUUAUACCUUUGCCAUCUUGUAGUCAAGAUGUCCAGCCACUUGAAAAUAGGUGUAGUAAUGACAAAGCUAUCCAAGUAGCUCCAGCACAGGAACACAAAGGCAAAGCAAGUGUGUAUUGCCACAUCACCCCUUAAUAUAUCUGAAGCAAGUAUAAGUAAACAAUCAGAACCAGCAAAAAAAAAAACUGUUGUUCCUGAGGACAAAUUUGACAGUGAUGAGUCAAAUGCACCAGCAACAGAAGGAUCAACUGUUGACUAUGGGUUAUAGAAGAAGAAGAUUAAUUCAUAUUUAUUUAAAUUAAUAUUAAUGAAUAUUAAUUUAAAUUAUCGUGCAAAAUUCGUGGUCAAAACAUAUGUGUAUUUUAUAAAUAAAUAUUCAUUCUCAGUA